rnacentral:rRNA from 1 species
AUCAGUUGCGAUCUACUCGGCGUUCCGCGCCGCCGGAUAACCGUAGUAAUUCUAGGGCUAAUACGUGCGAAGCGCCCGAAGCCGCGAGGCGACGGGCGUUCUCGCCGGAUGUAGGAACCGACCCGGGGACCGCCGGGGCAACCCGGCGCCCCCGAGACGGGGCGAACCACGGUGAAAUGACGGAUCGUCGGCCCCGCGCCGGCGACUCGCCGAAUGAGUUUCUGACCUAUCAACUCGAGACGGCGGGGUAGAGGCCCCGCCGCGGUAACGACGGGUAACGGGGAAUCAGGGUUCGAUUCCGGAGAGGGAGCCCCGAGAAACGGCUACCACUUCCAAGGAAGGCAGCAGGCGCGCAACUUACCCUAAUCUCGAUUCGAGGAGGUAGUGACAAGAAAUACCGAUGCGGGACCCUACGGGUGCCCGCGUUCGGAAUGAGUACGAUUCGAACCACCUAACGAGGAACGA